UGGGGAAUAUUGCACAAUGGGGGAAACCCUGAUGCAGCAACGCCGCGUGAAUGAUGAAGGUCUUCGGAUCGUAAAGUUCUGUCUUCAGGGACGAUAAUGACGGUACCUGAGGAGGAAGCCACGGCUAACUACGUGCCAGCAGCCGCGGUAAUACGUAGGUGGCAAGCGUUGUCCGGAUUUACUGGGCGUAAAGGGAGCGUAGGCGGAUUUUUAAGUGAGAUGUGAAAUACUCAGGCUCAACCUGGGGGCUGCAUUUCAAACUGGAAGUCUAGAGUGCAGGAGAGGAGAGUGGAAUUCCUAGUGUAGCGGUGAAAUGCGUAGAGAUUAGGAAGAACACCAGUGGCGAAGGCGACUCUCUGGACUGUAACUGACGCUGAGGCUCGAAAGCGUGGGGAGCAAACA
rnacentral:rRNA from 1 species